UACGUAGGGUGCGAGCGUUUAAUCGGAAUUACUGGGCGUAAAGUGUGCGCAGGUGGCCGCGCAUGUCGAGUGUGAAAUCCCCGGGCUUAACUUGGGAAUUGCGCUCGAAACUACGUGGCUCGAGUGUGGCAGAGGAAGGUGGAAUUCCACGUGUAGCGGUGAAAUGCGUAGAGAAUGUGGAGGAACACGAUGGCGAAGGCAGCCCUUCUGGGCCAACACAUGGACGCUCAGUGCACGAAAGCGUGGGGAGCAAACAGGA
rnacentral:rRNA from 1 species